rnacentral:tRNA from 1 species
GCCUUAGUAGCUUAAGCUAAAGUAUUGGUCUUGUAAACCAACGACGGGAAUUAAACAUCCCCUAAGACA